GCGCUCAAUUCAGCAGCACAUAUCCUAAAAAUUGGAAUGAUACAGAGAAGAUUAGCACGGCCCCUGUGCAAAGAUGACACGUAAAUUUGUGAAGUGUUCCAUUAAAAG
rnacentral:snRNA from 1 species